UAACACUUCAAAGGUGUGGGGGGGUGUUCUCAGAUCCUCAGCAGUAGCAUCUUUUCGUGGUUUUUUUUGUUUCAUCAACCAUUUCUUUUUACUACAGGAAAAUAGCAUACAUGUGUGUUUUGAGCAUAAAGUGUUUUGAGCAUAAAUGCAUUUUUGUAGAAGUGUCUUUUGCAAUGAUUCUCAUUUUGUGAAUCUGUAUUGACAUAGCCAUUAGCGUGGAGCAGUGUUAAUAUUUAACCAUAAUGGUUUAUCCACUCCAAUACUUUUUUUUUUUUUUCGCCAGAGUCACUGCAGACUUAAAUCUUUUGUCUCAUGCGUCUUCAUGCAUUAAUUACAUCCCCGCUUGCAGAAGAGCAGACCGAACCCCGCUGGUUUAGCUCUGUGUACCAUUCGCGGUUUGACUUGUCAAUUAUGUAACUUGAGAGGCUCCUGCCAACCCAAAGGUGAGACUGCAUGGUGUGUAGCAAUGUCCUUAAAAAUUACAAGAAGGCUUCAUCUUGUGCAGUGUGUGUGUGUCUCAGCAUAUACUGUGGUUGCAUUCGAGUUGCAUUGGAGAUUGGCCGCUGCAGAGCUGAUGCCAGAGGCUUGUAAUGGGGAAUAAUGGGGCCGUAAAUGAAGAGCUACGGCUAGAUUUAUGCCACAGAGCGCGGGUUCAGCGCCUGGCCACGCAGGGAAGGCGUGAGCGGCGUGAGCGCUCUUUAGGGAUCCGCGGCACGUGCCGCGCGGAGAGGGACGCGGCUGCUUCGCGCAGAAGGGCGAAAUCGGAAACGGAAUGGAAAAGGCACCUGCAUCCUGUCGGUUUGUCAUUUUUUUUGUUAAUGAAGUUGGCGCGCCGAACUGACGGUCUUUGGGAAGAGUGGGCUUCCAAGAACGCAGGCUCCUGCUCCCCUAGCAUUAGCGUUAGCGUUCAGUCGUUUCACUGGUGCAGCUGCGGGCUUCUUGUCCUCUCUACCCCUCUCUCACUCCCUAGCUCUAUCUCUCCCUCCCUUUCUCUCUCUCUGUAGCUUUUUCUCCCUGCUCUCUCUUGCUCUCUCUCUCUCCCCGUGUUUCUCUCUCUCCAUCCCCCCCUCCCCACCAGGCAGCGCAGCACCAGCACCAGCAGCAGCAGAGACGGCACCAUCGUGGGCCAAAUCCAAUCAGAUCUUAUUAGUUUUCCACUGAUCCUCCGCUCUGCUAGCCCUGACGCACCGCAGCAAUGAUGGGUGACAUGAUUGGGGUUGAUUUGUACAGCUAAGUGGGGGGGGGGGAGUCUCUCUGUAAAUAAAGCAGGGUGGGGGGGCAAAUCUUUUCUCCUGCAGCAGAUUUUAUGACUUCCCUUUAAAAUGUCAGAUGGUGAGAGAGGGCUGUAAAACUCCCCCUGUCUGUCCACCCUCCUCAUCAUUAGCGAUGGCUGAUGGGGUGUGAAAACAGGCGGUGAAAAGUCACCGCUGGGCAUUGACUCGCCGUCCGUCGCUAACCCCUCCCGCUCCCCCCCUUCCUUCACCUCCGGUAUGACAAUCUGGUUUCGAUGUGGUAAAAAAAAACAAAAAAAAAAACAGUGGUGCGAUUUUUGACAGGGCUGUAGUUUUGAUUGUUUCCCACCAUGCUCUGGGGGACAGGGUAAAUGUUCCACCCCUCAUAAACAAGCAAAAACAAAACGCUUGGAGCUGGUGGAAUUGGGGCCAUGCAAACUCUACAAAGUUUGCGGGUGACGACCGUAAAGCCUCACUUUGGGGAACUGCGGUUGUUCCAAUGUGGCAUAUGAGCAGAGGUGUGGACACAGCCUUCUGUGGGACUGUAUGAAGCACCGGUCCUUUCACGCUGAUAAAGUCUGUUUGAACUGAGAGGCCUCCUGGGAAUGUGAGCACCUUUCCUGCGGAGGGAAAAAAACGACCUUGUCUUCGAAGGCCUCGCAAGACGCCUUCCGCAAGCUGUGGACAGGCAGGAGGCAGGGCAGUUACCCAGCAUGCUCGUCACCUGUCAGUGCAGCUGGGGAGAUGGAGGGCGCGUGUCACUGCUCUGUGCUCCGCGGGAAUUAGAAUCGGUCGGCUGUUUCUCUUGAUGCCAAACAGUCCCACGGUUUUUGGUAGCGGUGGGAAUGUAGCUCUCUGGGGCUUGGGUUGACAGAAGGGUCCUGGCAGGGAGGGAGAGAGAGAGUGAGGGGGGAGUGAGAGAGAGAGUGAGAGAGAGAGGGGGGGAGAGAGAGAGAGAGAGAGAGAGAGAGAGGGGGGAGAGAAAGAGAGAGAGAGAGCUAUGGAAGGAAUUGCUGCACGCUAGGAACUCUGUUGGCCGUGCGUCAGGCUUUACGCGUCAUCAUUUUUUGCUUUUUCCUCAAGAUCCGAGCUCCCCUUGUCAGGCCAAGGUCAAGUGUGACACAGCAGCGUUCCCUUGAGUGAUGGCCCGGUGCUCUUCCCCAUAUGCCGUUGAGACCAGUGGUCAAAUCGAACACGUGCAACCGAAUGGGCGCAAUUAGGGCGCAGUAUAUUGAGUGUCCCGACUCUAGGUAAGCACCUCUGUCAGUCUCUUGGGGGGGGGGGAGGGCAUUUCUCCCGGAACGCGAAAGUGAAACCCUAGACAUGAAGCCAUAUUUCUGAUAUGGAAGCUUUCCAAGACAAGGAAGUUUUUAAAUAAGGUCACGGCCAGCGGUGAACCGUGAGCAGGCAGCCUGGAUUAAAGACCCAAUGAGAAAGGAGAAAAGACUCAGAGCUGCACAUAUUAAAGUAAUCCAUUUAAGCCUACAGCGCUGAUUAAUCUGGGAAGACUGCGUGAGGGGAAACGUGAGGCGGUGUCCACGCGAGUGACACUUCCAUUGAACAGGAAGGCCUGUCUCUCGGACCCCAGGUCCCUCCGUGGCCCGAAUCCUCGCUCCCCCCAGAUGAAUGGAAUUCCAUUACGCCCCUGUCAGCCUGGCCCCCGCUGCCUCUUACCCCCAGCAACACACAGCUCCUCUCUCUGUCCCACAACAAAAAUGCUAAUCAGAUCCUUUAUCACAGGGAGACAGGCGAGAGAAGGACGGCUCGGUUAGCUUCCCUCCUGGAAAGCGAUAAGAAGAAACAAUGCCUGACGUUUUAACGCCUUUCUGAAGGCGCAUGCUCUAUCAGGAAAUUGCCCUUUGUGCUAUUCUGGUGGAAAGAUGUUGAGGGGACACACAUGGUAUGGGGCUUCUUGGUAAGGAGGGUGGGGAGUGGGGGGUGGGUUUUCGCUGGGAAAUAAGUAUUCGGGAGGUACUAAACAAUAAGGCGUGUAAUAACUUGGCAAUGGGUGAAUCAUGAUAUCUUGCCUUUUCCAGCAGGCUCGCCCACACAAUUUCAAUUGAAGCAGUAAUGAGAAACCACCUGCAGAGGCUGUGGUGCGCGUGGCUAUCAUUUCCCCGAUGCCUGUUAUUAUUCAUUAUUUGCAGACAUCUACAUACCCGCGCAGUGAAAACAACUGAGUGGGUAUAUCUGAGCCUCGCCACAGUCAGCCUCGUUGGCUUUCUUCAACUGGUAAUGAAUAUCCGGGGCCCACAAAAUUAAUGAUAAAACGCAAAGUGGGAUUAAUCUACUUGUAUAACGGAGGAAUGGUUUUAUUGGAUUACAUUUGAAAGCAGUAGACUGGUAAAGUACGGAAGGCCGUAGCCCAGACGCAUAAAACUUAACCACCUGAUCACGAGGUCUACGUACUCCCACCCAAACCCCCUCCAUGCUGGUUUCACCUUGUCCGUGUUGUAUCUCUGUGCUGUUUUUAAGGACGGGCAUUACAGUUGUCCUACUGCUUAGUACCGUUUGUGAAAGUGGACGGAAGGAGAGGGAGAGCAUUCUAUGGGGAGCUUUCUCUAGCAACCGCCUAACCUGUUGUACCAUGGAGACCACAGGGAACGAAAGCUGCAAAUUAUUGGCAAGAAGGAAUUUAUUUUUAGAAAAAGAGGUGCACACCGAACACCGUGUAGCUUGACUGACUGGGGCGUACAUGCCUUGCAACAGUUGGAUUACAGGCUUCUCUCCAGAUCUUUCUAAACGAUGAACAGGAAAGACAUCCUGACUGUGUAAGAGAGUGGCAUUAUCUCCAGAUUGGAUCCUGGCCAUUAGCACCAGGCUGUAGCCAGUGCCAGUCAGGGCAUUUAUUUAUAACUGUUUUGGGCUGUCUGCAAGAGGAAAAACAGGAAAGUGUAUGGGGUAACUCAUUCAUCCAUUCAUUCACUUAUUCUUUAUUUCAAAGAAAAGCAACUAUGUUGGUUCCUGGCAUGGUCUGAUGCAGUGCGGGAUACUAUAGUCUGUAGGUAAGUGGUGAUUCGAGAUGGACUGAAUGGCUUGUUUCUCAUCACUAGGUGUCCUUCUUUCUGUCUUUUAUAUGCUCUUAGGCAAUUCAGUCACUUGGACAACUUGGCCUGGACUCAGCUAUCUGUUUCAUUUAUUCAAAAUUAAGAGCGAAUAUUGACUUUUUAAAAAUAAAAAAUACAGACGAGUACAAUGGUCAUCAAAAAUGAAUGGAAAAGUUGUGCCUGUAAAAAAGUAACACUUACAUUUACCAUAUUUCAAAGUCAAAGCCAAGUACAAAUGCUGAUUCAGUUUAGACCCUUGGUACAGAAUGAGUUCCAAGUGGAAUAACUCAUUAUGGAAAUAUGAGUAUGCGUGCUUAUGUUCUCAUUCUCUAUAUCUUUCUUGAAUUAGAUAAUUCAUUGGAUCUGUACCUUUCUGUAGCACCAGCUUUCAAAGUACAGCACACACUGAGGGAGUCCAACCUCACACACCUCAAUGACUGCACCCCAGAACAUCCCUUUAAAAUUGUUUAAUAUGGGGGGUGUGGGGGCGAGGUGAGAGUUACUCAUGACAGUCACACUGAGGGUGAGCAGUGGGUGAGCAGCCAUGGUAUGCUUCGAUCAAAAUCAUUCACAAAUCAUUCAUCAUGCUACACAAUAAAAUGUACAGUGUUAAUUCAACUCUAAAUGGGUACAUAUCAAUUCAAUAGCGUCCAUAUGUACUCUGUAAAAGUUGAUUUGAUACUGAACAUUUUACUGAGGGUUUAUGGAAAAGGCAGACAAGUUUAAAACAGGAAUUGGUAACUGGUCCUUCAGUGACUACCAGUCAUAGUAAGUGGCGGUUUGGAAAUAGUUUUGAGUGAGAUACAUUGUUGGGCUGUCAACAGGGUGAUGUGUUACCAGUCCAGAGAUGCGUCUUCUGUCACUUGACUGACAGUAGCCUCAAUAAUCUUUGAAGCAUGGGAAACAUGUUUCCCACAGUCCAUACAGCAGGAAAAAAAAAAAAAAACUUUGCCCUGAUGUUCCUCUUAACUUCAGAAAUGCAACAUCAGCAGGAAACUUAAGCAAGAUGUAGGGAGUAUGGUACAAGCAGAAUUAACUAAGAAGGUAGGUGUUUAACUGCCGCUCAUUGCAAUAAACAGCUAUGUCUGCACAUUCUCCAUCUAAUGAAACAACCUGUCUCUGUCUACCUCUAUCUUCCCUUGCAGACAGGUAAUCUGCAAGCUUGUUGAAACAUACAUCUUACUCUGAUUAAUUAUACUAGGAAAAUGUAACUGCUGUUGGAUGCCUGCAGGUGAAAUUAAUUUUAAAAGGCAGUUUUCUUCAUUUUUUCCCCUUUUUAUUCUUUUUUUUCUUUUACAAUAAUUAAACCAGUAAAAUUACUCUUUCUUACAAAAAAUCCUGCAAUAUUACAGUAAUUGGUAAUUAAGCCAGCUAAGCUAGAAUUAAACACAGCACUAAUAUUCACACUUUCCUCACAGGCUCAAAGUUUAGACUUGGCUGGUAGUUUUGCGAAAUAUACUUAAAACCAAUGUCAUAGGCUAGAACUGGUUAUGGGAAAUUUAUUUCAGUCUAUCAGUCCUGGAGAUUGAAGAGAUUAUUGUGUCCUUAUCACUCAGAACCACUGACACUGAUCAGAAUGAAUAAUCAUGUCCAUCGGUUUGACUGAAUAUUUCAGAGGAAGGCAACGAAACGGUGUGACUUUAAGACCCUAGGCGCGAGAGUGCGUAAGGACUGGCGAGGCAUGACCUAGGUGUCAGAAAUGUUGGAAAAUUCGCAGCUGUGUGUCACAGCUUGGAGAUCUUAGUCAACAUGCAGGUUAAUGGGCUGUUAGCAGCCGAAGCCCCACGGUAUGCCAGGUGCUUGUUGCUAAGAUUGAAAAUGAAAUGUCACCAGGAAAAAAAAAACUGCAAAACAUAGAAAAAGAGCAAUUUUUGAUUUUGUGAACAAGAGUUCAACAGAGGACAACGGAAGAUGCUAAUUGGCCUUGCACCUCCAAACAUAACUUUGCGAAAGGUUUCCUCUGUCUCUCUUUACGGCUUUGUCUUGUUUUUUUAACACACCCUUUAACCUCACUGUUUGGGUACAGCCGAUUCUGAGUAUGACACAAUAACAGGUGCAUGGGCUCACUGGAAGUGUAAGAAGGGAGUCAGCAGUCGGUUAUGAAUCAGAAUAGUCACACAUGGAGAGUGCACGACACCUAAAAUAUCAUAAUAUCAGUUUGCGGGAAUCUUUCCGUAAUGUCGAGGAGAAAGAUCUCACUGAGUCAGGUUCACAAUCAAACCUAUGAAAUAUAAUGUCACGUUAUUUUUGAAAUAUUUUUUAGAUUGCGUCUUAUUACAUUUUUACAGCAUCAUAUUACAUUUGCUUCCUUGAACCUCAGAGAACAUUGAACUGCAUUUAAGAACGUCUCUCUAGGUUUGAUAAUUUCGUAUUGCACUUAAUAUUUUAUUACAUUUUAUAAUAUCAUAUUUUCCUUCGGCAGCACAGAGCAUUUAACUGGAAGGGAAAAUAGAUAUUUUGUUGCCUUCGUUUCAGUCUUGGGCGCCUUUGUACCUCAUGCUCUUCGCUUUGUAUUCAGAGCAAUUCAUGCAUGCGAAGGACAGAGCUCAAAAAACCCGUCACGUUUUCCUGCGUGCGGAUUUAUUAGCGACUUAAUUCUUUUUCGGCUCAUUAGCAUGUUCGUAACAAGGUGCAACAGCAUCUAAUUCCUCUGGGGAGCGGAAAACUCACGUUUGAGCACUUUCAGCCCCUUCUCAGUUAUUUUUUCCAAUUUUCGUCGUCUCUCAGGCGAAAACGGGCUUUGUGUCUUGUCGUACGUAGCGCACCUCCGUUCUUAGAUAUUCAUUUAAUUCUGGCUCUCGCCUUUACCACCGAAGCCCAGCUGCGCUACGGCGGACUGCCUGGGUUCAGCCAAUUUGCGCAAUGCAAACAAAACGCCCAGUAAUGGCCGUGACCAGCAGACACGACAGGCUUAUGACCAACGGAACAGCGUGCUGGUAUUGAUUUCUUGGGUUUGAUUCGCUGCUCACCUACCCCAGCCCCUCCCAAGUUUGCGUGCCCCCAUCAGAGAUUUGAAAGCCAAAAACGUCCCUGUCUGGUUGGUUUGUGGGGACAGUGGGACGGAGAUUUUCAGGGAUUUGGGGAUUUGAGAUUGAACUGUGAGAAAGAAGGCAUGAAAUACAGCAAUCUAAAACUGGCUUCGACUGAGCAUGGCGGUUUCACCGGAGCGCGGGAGUUCCUGGAAGAGCUCACGAAGCGAAAGCAUGUCUGCAGCAUCUGCUGAAGGCACAUAAGCACAGCAACAUCUGCCCCCCCCCUCCCCGCCUCGAACGCUCAAUCACUCGCACGGGUCCCCUCCUCACGCCCGGGUGCAAUCAAUGCGCCGGUCUGUUCUGUUGCGCCCCUGACCCCCGAGCAUCGUAAAUUACCGCUCGGAAUGAUUGCGGGCGAAGGGAAAGACCGUUAAUCACAGGAUGCUCGUGUGGUGAGGAUGGAGACGACAGACAGAUUUUUCACCAGUAAUGCUGCGCUGACUUUCGCUCACCGGGGAAGAUCUGUUGGCCGGGGAAGUGUCAAGGCGUUACGGAAUAGCCAGGACAGGCUCCACAGCAAGAAGGAUGUGACAGAGCACCACAAUGGUGUAAUUCAGGAGGGAGGUCUGGGUGUCAGGGCAGGACUCUUACGUUAUGAUGGGCAGAGGUGGUGGCAUAGAGCUAUGGUUCACAGCCCUGUAAGUGUCCACCAUGUUUAUCAUGGUCGCAGAUCUCCAGGCCUGUCUCUAAAAUGUAAAGACAAGGAGUGUCUCUAAAGUAUGGGAACAUGGAUCAACCUCAAUGGGCUAGUGAGCCCAUCUAGGAUUGUCAUUUGCCUCCAAGCCAGAGCGGGGAUACUCAGAUCGAAUUGUCAAGGUCAUGAGCACGGCUGGAUUUCUCUUUUACCUGAUAGUUAACUGAUUCGUUGACUGAUGUCCCUGAUUACAGAAGAAUUAUGAAAAACCAGCAGUAAUACUGGCUUCUGAGGCAAGAUUUGCAAAUCCCUAGAGUAUGGUAUCCAUCACUGUGUCCAGCCAAGAUUUGAGCAUCUCUACCUCUACUGUAUGACCUGACAAGAGGAGAAUAUAGGAGGACUGGCCGAGGAUGAGUUCAACAGGUUCGGUGGUCAGACUAGCUUGCUAAAUUUCUCAAAGUGGUAUUAGGUUGGAGGAUUUUCAAGGCUGUGCCUACAUAGAAAUCGACCUGGCUACACCUGCCGUCAUUGGACAGUGUCAGUCCCCACCACAGUUGCAUGAAGCAUCAUCCACUGCUCCACUUCGCCCAUGACGGCAGAAUCAAAGGCAGAGGAAAGCUUUGGUUUCCCCGCUUGGUUUAUAAUGGGCAACAGACCAUUAGACCAUUUCGUCUAACGGUCAGGUUUCUAUGGAAACCAGGUCACAUUUGAAGGCAUUUGGAGAAAAAUAGCCCAGGGGUGUCAGCCGGCUCCCUGAGUCAGCUUCACACUAAGGCUUAAUAAAAUCUGUUGGUCCAAUGAAAUUUUUCAAAAGGUCUAGCCUAAGCCCAAGUGAAAAAAAAAUCAUUCAGAAAUUCUGAGCAUCUUCAGUUUGGGAGACCCACACAUUCCUGUGGUCUUGAGAGUGUGGCGAGCUCUCUUUAAAGUUGAGGAUGACGGUGGAGCCGUUUCUCAUGUACAGACGCCGUGUCCCAACUUGCUCUGUCACUUUCAGAAACACGGUGAAGUUACUCGGGUCACACGGGUUUGCGGCAUCUCCGAUCAUUAAACGCAAUGAGCUGGAAGAGCUUUCGAGCACCUUUACAUCUCUGUCGUGUACGUGUAAUCUGGUAUUAAGAGGCAGGGGGAACCGGCCAAUCAGUCAGGCUCGCGUUCACGGUGGAGGGUCGCUGGCCCGUGAAAUUGCAUUACCUCUGGUUUUGAAAGAUUGCAGCUCUCGCAGGUUGCAUAUCGCGGGAGUGUUUGCGCCGAUGUUGCCUUUUAUUGUGCUCGCCGCGCUCCCCUACAGAUUCGCUUUGACGGCAGGCCCUGCCUGGCCACGCUUAGCGGUGCCUCCGAAUCAUCCAUCUUCUUAGGUUAAUACGAAUUCAUGUUCCCUUAUGAUCGCAGUUAGCCGAGUGGUUCAGUCAUAAUUUUACCGCUUGGUUCCCUGAAAAACACACAGUCACAGAAUUACAUUUUUCAAGUGCUAAUCUCUCCAAUCUUUCCCUGUUUUUUCCUUGCAUCUUACAGAUAAGACAUAUUGGGUUUUUUGAUUACUUGCUGCCCAUUUCAGGCCCAUAUCACAGUCUCUGUUCUAUCUUUAUGCACUGUGGAUGAGAUUCCCUGCGGAUUAAAGUCUUUCGUUGUCAGACCAGAUUCUGACAGAAGGCAUCAGGCUCUUUUGUUGGAAAUUAUAUUCAUGCACAAUGCAUUGAAAAAUGUCUCAGUUUCACAAAGUGCACUCAUCCAGUUUGAGGUUCCAACAAGAAUCGAAACUUAAGACAUGCAAUACACCUCUGCAUGCAUGAAAUACAGCCUCAUAUGCAUGCAAUGCACCUUCUCCAUGCAUGUUAUGUUUAAAAAACGUGGCAUCAUGCAAAUGGAAGAUUAUUCACAUCUUGAGAGAAAGUGAUUAUUCUGACACAUAGGCCUAUUGUACACCACCACGGUACACAAUAAAAGAAAACAGAAAACAACUAUAUAAAUACAUGCAAGAGCUGGCUUAUGCGCAAUUGUUUGGAAUGCUGUAUAAUAUUAUUGGUUCUGCAUCAUAUGGUAAAUUCAAAUUGAGUGUCAGAAAUUGCAAAUGCAGGUCAGGCCGGUCAUGCAAAGGCUGCUGUAGUUGUGGAUGUUGGAGACUGUUCAUGAGGGAGCAACAGACUUUCACCCCCUCUGUCUGUUUCGGCGCGCAUUCCUUAUUUCCACCGGGAUGGGAUUUUUUCCCACACGAAGUGAACAAGGGCUCUACAUUGCUGGAAUCGAUCCCUGUUUCCACCGCUUCCCACCAUGAGAAAGGUGAAUAAGAAUUCCCGCCUAUUGAUCCCUGGCUCGGGUCGUCUCCGGAGAGCGGUCGUUAAUUGAGCGCUAACCCUAGAGCGGGACCGCACUCGCUCACGCUGUGAACGCGGAGAAGCCCCCAGGAAGGAACGCAGCCGCGUGCGGUCACGGCUCAUUAUGCAUGCUUGUCUGGGGGAGCACGCCUCCUCCACAGCUCCGCUGGUCCGCUACAUCGCCUCCCCCACAGCUCCGCUGGUCCCCUACAUCGGCCCUCCCCCACAGCUCCGCUGGUCCCCUACAUCGGUGUCUGCAGCUACAUCUUAGGGGUCUGCUGGGAAAUAGAAAUUCCAAGGCAGACUCCAAGCACCAGAGAGUGCCUCCCUUUGAAUUUCACUGUGACAACAUGAUAGAAAAUGCACUGUAAUUACUACUAACGAUGCAGUCAUGCAUGCAGCUAAUUAAAUAAAAAGUAUGAUUAUAGAAGUUAUCUUUUUGUAUUGUGAUUUUCAAGAACUGAUAGCACAUAUAUUGUCUAAGAAUAUUAUAUAUAUAUUCUUGGUUAUUAAUUAUCAAAUGAACAACAUUAUGAAUGAAAGACAUUAUAUCAGCUCUUUCUUUCAGAAACUUCAACUUCCACAGACAGCUUUUUGAGGGAUUUUUUCAUUGGAAAUGUAUUUCUCAUCCAAAAUGGAUUGUGCUAUCUCAAGACGCUUUGACAUAUUUAUUAAAGGACCCUGUCAAAGACCUGAUAAAGUUUUUUUUAUCAAAGCUAUAAUUAAUGGGAUUUCUCCUAAUUGCAAUUUAACACAUCUUCAAGAAAAAUGCCAUAUGUCAUCAUGAUAGAACCGGUGUGUGUGUGUGUGUGUGCUCAGGGGAGGCUGAAUGUGUUGGUAGCAUAUUUCUCAUUAGUCUUACCAUGGAUAAAACAAACAAAAAAAUUUCAACUUAAGUAUCUCAUUCAUCCGGGAAUCUGGUGGUUGAGUGGUUCAUGCAAAGUGUUCAAAUUAGCAACUGGGGCAGCUGGUUCUAGCAGUUCCAAUCAGAGGCUUUGCAUUGUCAGUAAAUUAGUAUUAUGGGGAGAAGCUUUAGCUGUGAACAACCCAAAAUAACCCCAUGCGAGACAAAUCCCCAUGCCCAGAAAUCCCAUCUCCUUUUGGGAUAAUCCUACUCAGCAGACACCUCAUUCUCAGUUGAUUUUGGGUGAGUGUCCAAACUGAAAGUUUUGGACACAGAAUCCCUGGCAGAGAAAAAAAAAUAAAAUUUUAAAAAACAAUUUGUCAGCUAAACCAAAAGCCCAGGGAACCGAUAUGGACUGAACAGCAAGUUUUGAAGGCCCGAAAUAGAUCAAGCAUUAGAAUAGGCAAGGGUGUAACUUACGAGGGAAAUGGGAGGGGUUAUAACCCCCCAGUAUUUCUGUACAAACAUGCCAAAUAACUCCCCCAAUAAAUAUAGUGCUAUGAUGAGAAAAAUAAUUUCAUACAAUACUCGAUGGGGAUUUCAUGAUGCAAUUGGGAUAUAGGCUACUGACCAGUGAGGCUGAGCGUUACAUCAGGGACAAAAGCUCCAUCAAAGAUUCAAACCUCACAAUGUACGACUUGCUGUACCAAAACAAACUUUUAAGAAAUAAAAGCGAACCCCGGCACCCAUCUAUUAAUGUAUUUCAAUCGUAAGCUGUUUCUAAUUGUCGGCAAGUGCCCAUUGAUUUUUUGAGGCAUUUGUUACUGUUGCUAGUAGCAUGUUAUUUAAAUCAUUUCCCACUGCUGCACAUGAGAUCUAUUCAUUAAUGUAAGAAAUGAUUUCUUCAGCUUUUUUCCAGUUUUUCAUGAUUUUCAACAACUUAGCUGUGACUGCUCCACAACUUCAUUCAAUUUUUUUUGUGACAAACACCCAGCCUGAUUGAUUGAUCAGUAAUCUGAAAUAUUUAGAAUUCACCAAAGCUGAUCAUUUCACAGCUGUUCUUUUAAAAUUUUUCUUCUGUGUAGUCAUGCCUGCGGAACCCCAGAGAUGGUUGUAGUUCUUAGGGUUUAUGCAUUUAACCCCCCACCCCCCCAAAUAUUCAAACAGAGGUUUUGCCAUAGGCCAUGCUUGAGCAUAGGACCCCUGUGACAGGCCUUUUCCACAGAAAUGUUUUCAAAGUGUGAAAAGUGGGCACCAUGCCUCACUGGUUUUUGAGCCAACACCGUUACACAAACUCACUAUUUGCAAUGUUGCAAAAACAUUGCGUGCCAGCUGGGAUAUUGAUGUACCUCACAUUCCGCCCUGAAAACAAUCAGGCUUUGUGCUGAGCAUCUCCAGGUCUACCGCAGACCUAAAAAAAAAAAACAGCGCAGGGACCAAACCAUAUUCAUAUAA